rnacentral:rRNA from 1 species
CAAGGAUGAAACUCAAGGGAAUUGACGGGGGCCCACACAACCGGUGGAGCACGUGGUUUAAUUCGACGAUAAGCGAAGAACCUUACCAGGGCUUGACCUAGCGGUGGUAGGAUCCUGAAAGGGAAACGACCUCAAGCUUUGCUUGAGGAGCCGUGGCAGGUAUUGCAUGGCUGUCGUCAGCUCGUGUCGUGGGACGUUGGGUUAAGUCCCGUAACGAGCGCAACCCCUGCCCUUAAUUGCCAGCGGGUAAUGCCGGGGACUAUAAGGGGACUGCCGGAGAAUAUCCGGAGGAAGGAGGGGAUGACGUCAAGUCAUUAUGAUCCUUAUGCUCUGGGCGACACACGUGCUACAAUGGGUACUACAGUGAGGAGCAAGUCCGCAAGGACCAGCAAAUCUCAAAAAGGUGCCCUCAGUGCGGAUUGGGGUCUGCAACUCGACCCCAUGAAGAUGGAAUCGGUAGUAAUCGCGGGUCAGCCAUACCGCGGUGAAUACGUACUUGGGCCUUGUACACACCGCCCGUC